AGCAAAUAUUCAAAUUAGAAUUUUGAAGAGUGAAGUGGGGAAAUGUUCCAUGUGAACAUCACUUGGACAUGGGUUAGUCGAUCCUAAGAGAUGGGGAAUCCUUGUGUCAAGGGUGCACUCUGCAUGAACAUCGAAAGAGAAUUGGGUUAAUAUUCUUGAACUGGGACAUGGUGGUGGACGACAAUGUUAGGAAAUCUGAAGAUGUCAUCGAGGGCUUGGGAAGAGUUAUCUUUUCUUUUUGAAGACUUUACCACCCUGAAAUCGUUUCAACCAGAGAUAGGGUCCAACAUAUGGAAGACCACCACAUGUCUUGCGGUGUUUGGUGCCCCCUCGACGACCAUUGAAAAUAUGGAGAACUGAGUACCAUCCAAGCUCGAUCGUACUCAUAUCUGCCUCCUUGGAUUUUCAAUGCCC
rnacentral:ncRNA from 1 species